rnacentral:rRNA from 1 species
UACAGAGGGUGCGAGCGUUAAUCGGAAUUACUGGGCGUAAAGGGCGAGUAGGUGGUUUUGUAAGUUGGAUGUGAAAUGUCUGGGCUCAACCUGGAUUUGUCAUUCAAAACUGCAAGACUAGAGUAUGGUAGAGGGUAGUGGAAUUUCCGGUGUAGCGGUGAAAUGCGUAGAUAUCGGAAGGAACAUCAGUGGCGAAGGCGACUACCUGGACUGAUACUGACACUGAAUCGCGAAAGCGUGGGGAGCAAACAGG